AUUGAACGCUGGCGGCAUGCUUUACACAUGCAAGUCGAACGGCAGCGCGGGCUUCGGCCUGGCGGCGAGUGGCGAACGGGUGAGUAAUGCAUCGGAACGUGCCCAGUAGUUGGGGAUAGCCCGGCGAAAGCCGGAUUAAUACCGCAUACGACCUGAGGGUGAAAGCGGGGGACCGAAAGGCCUCGCGCUUUUUGAGCUGCCGAUGUCGGAUUAGCUCGUUGGUGGGGUAAAGGCUUACCAAGGCGACGAUCCGUAGCUGGUCUGAGAGGACGACCAGCCACACUGGGACUGAGACACGGCCCAGACUCCUACGGGAGGCAGCAGUGGGGAAUUUUGGGCAAAGGGGGCAACCCUGAUCCAGCCAUGCCGCGUGAGGGAAGAAGGCCUUCGGGUUGUAAACCGCUUUUGUUCGGGAAGAAAUCCUCUGGGCUAAUACCCCGGGGGGAUGACGGUACCGGAAGAAUAAGCACCGGCUAACUACGUG
rnacentral:rRNA from 1 species